rnacentral:rRNA from 1 species
GACGUAGGGCGCGAGCGUUGUCCGGAUUUAUUGGGCGUAAAGAGCUCGUAGGCGGCUCGUUGCGUCGGCUGUGAAAACCCGCAGCUUAACUGUGGGCCUGCAGCCGAUACGGGCGAGCUAGAGUUCGGUAGGGGAGACUGGAAUUCCUGGUGUAGCGGUGAAAUGCGCAGAUAUCAGGAGGAACACCGGUGGCGAAGGCGGGUCUCUGGGCCGAUACUGACGCUGAGGAGCGAAAGCGUGGGGAGCGAACAGG